GUAUUUGCUCAGGACGAACGCUGGCGGCGUGCCUAAUACAUGCAAGUUGAGCGCUGAAGAUUGGUACUUGUACCGAUUGGAUGAGCAGCGAACGGGUGAGUAACGCGUGGGGAAUCUGCCUUUGAGCGGGGGACAACAUUUGGAAACGAAUGCUAAUACCGCAUAAUAGCUUUAAACAUAAGUUUUAAGUUUGAAAGAUGCAAUUGCAUCACUCAAAGAUGAUCCCGCGUUGUAUUAGCUAGUUGGUGAGGUAAAGGCUCACCAAGGCGAUGAUACAUAGCCGACCUGAGAGGGUGAUCGGCCACAUUGGGACUGAGACACGGCCCAAACUCCUACGGGAGGCAGCAGUAGGGAAUCUUCGGCAAUGGACGAAAGUCUGACCGAGCAACGCCGCGUGAGUGAAGAAGGUUUUCGGAUCGUAAAACUCUGUUGUUAGAGAAGAACGACGAGGAGAGUGGAAAGCUCCUCGUGUGACGGUAUCUAACCAGAAAGGGACGGCUAACUACGUGCCAGCAGCCGCGGUAAUACGUAGGUCCCGAGCGUUGUCCGGAUUUAUUGGGCGUAAAGCGAGCGCAGGUGGUUUAUUAAGUCUGGUGUAAAAGGCAGUGGCUCAACCAUGGUAUGCAUUGGAAACUGGUAGACUUGAGUGCAGGAGAGGAGAGUGGAAUUCCAUGUGUAGCGGUGAAAUGCGUAGAUAUAUGGAGGAACACCGGUGGCGAAAGCGGCUCUCUGGCCUGUAACUGACACUGAGGCUCGAAAGCGUGGGGAGCAAACAGGAUUAGAUACCCUGGUAGUCCACGCCGUAAACGAUGAGUGCUAGAUGUAGGGAGCUAUAAGUUCUCUGUAUCGCAGCUAACGCAAUAAGCACUCCGCCUGGGGAGUACGACCGCAAGGUUGAAACUCAAAGGAAUUGACGGGGGCCCGCACAAGCGGUGGA
rnacentral:rRNA from 1 species